GGAGUCGGCCAGGCAAUCGCUCGGUGACGCUUUACGGCGCGAUCGGGAGGAAAGUCCGGGCUCCGGCGGGCGGGGUGCCAGGUAACGCCUGGGGGGCGUGAGCCCACGGAAAGUGCCACAGAAAAUAUACCGCCUCGCGAUGCGGGGUAAGGGUGAAAAGGUGCGGUAAGAGCGCACCGCGCGGCUGGUAACACGCCGCGGCACGGUAAACCCCACCUGGAGCAAGACCAAAUAGGGGAGUCUACCCGUCGUUCUGCGUCGGGUGCCCGCGCCCGCAGGGACUCCCGGGUAGGUCGCUUGAGGCCGCCGGUGACGGCGGUCCCAGAUGAAUGAUUGUCCACGACAGAACCCGGCUUACCGGCCGACUCCACAC
rnacentral:RNase_P_RNA from 1 species